CAGCUUUUAAUUUUUCCUCAUUUAGUAAUUUUCUAUAUGAGGACUAGACUCCAUUUAGGGAAUUUUUCCCUUUUGGAUCUAAACCCAGAGGUUAAUACUCAGGGUUUGUUGAAUGACUGCCUCUUGUAUAUGAGAGGAUGGGGUAUGUUUGGUAUGAAAGUGGUAAUUGUGAAGGGGGCUCAUCCUCAGAAUAGAAAGAAGUUCAGAAAAAAGAUUAAAAAAGAGAAAUGG